CCGACAACCCCCUCCCAUUCUUGAGGCAUCUUCCUGGCUGACUCAGAGGCCUGGGGGAGGGAGGUCAAGCCGCUGUGUGGCUAGGACCCAUGGCCAUGAACUUGCAGGAAAAUGUGACCUUGGCCAUGGCCGUGUUCACCAUCCUAGCCUCCAUCUACUUCUUCAACAAGGCUCAGCAAUGAGAAGGCAUGGCUCCCCAGUCCUCCAGCCUGGCCUCUGCCUGUUCUACCAUCGCUCUGGCCUCUAAGAUCUAAUAAAUGUAACAGCAUCAGA